UCCCAGGUGGCUCAGAGGUAAAGAAUCUGCCUGCUGAGCAGGAGACCCAGGUUCAAUCCCUGGGUUGGGAA
rnacentral:tRNA from 1 species